rnacentral:rRNA from 1 species
AGUUUGACUGGGGCGGUCUCCUCCCAAAGAGUAACGGAGGAGCACGAAGGUGGGCUAAUCACGGUUGGACAUCGUGAGGUUAGUGCAAUGGCAUAAGCCCGCUUAACUGCGAGAAUGACGGUUCGAGCAGGUGCGAAAGCAGGUCAUAGUGAUCCGGUGGUUCUGUAUGGAAGGGCCAUCGCUCAACGGAUAAAAGGUACUCCGGGGAUAACAGGCUGAUACCGCCCAAGAGUUCAUAUCGACGGCGGUGUUUGGCACCUCGAUGUCGGCUCAUCACAUCCUGGGGCUGAAGUCGGUCCCAAGGGUAUGGCUGUUCGCCAUUUAAAGUGGUACGCGAGCUGGGUUUAGAACGUCGUGAGACAGUUCGGUCCCUAUCUGCCGUGGGCGUUGGAAGAUUGAAGGGGGCUGCUCCUAGUACGAGAGGACCGGAGUGGACGAACCUCUGGUGUUCGGGUUGUGUCGCCAGACGCAUUGCCCGGUAGCUAAGUUCGGAAUUGAUAAGCGCUGAAAGCAUCUAAGCGCGAAGCGAGCCCUGAGAUGAGUCUUCCCUGACAGUUUAACUGUCCUAAAGGGUUGUUCGAGACUAGAACGUUGAUAGGCAGGGUGUGUAAGCGUUGUGAGGCGUUGAGCUAACCUGUACUAAUUGCCCGUGAGGCUUAACCAUACAACACCCA